GAUUUACACAUUUUUAAUACGUGGCGCUAGUGUCGAAGCGAGUGAUCGCCUGUCAUUGUCAAACUCAAUCGUGAUUCGUGGAUGCCAAGUGUUUUGUGUUGUGAGUGAACGUUGAAAAUUGAUGUAAUCUAUCGUUGUCAUGUGGUUAUGUGUGCGUGCAGUUAGAUAAGCAACAGUGUGGUGGGGUUGUUGAAGUGAUCCAACAUUGUGGAAUGGUUCCUGUGUGUUGGCGGUGUCUUGUUGAUGUAAGUUAACAUAUUUAUACUUGUUUACACAGCGGACGAUGCUGGCUGACGAUAUCUUUAGCUCUGUUCAUCAUUUAACCAAUAUUAUUAGCUGUUCAGUUAAUACGAACAUGAACAAGAAACAGCAAAAUAGAUUGCCAGGAAUUCUUGUAUUUUAUUUUUUUUGGAUGAUACUCUUAGAUGAAUUGUCUUUAAGUUAGAGGAAAAAUAAACCGGUUUCCAAUUCAUUGAAACAGUUGAGUCUUAAGUAGUUUGAACUUCGUAGGAAAAGACAGUUCGACGAAUCGGCUACAAUACGGCUAGUAAAUUUAUCCACAAGCGGAGAACGCGAUAUGAGAUCCAAAAAUAUGGUAGGAUUGAAAGUACAUGUCGUCUUUGGGUGGAUAAUAUUAUGAAAGAAAACCAAUUUCGGAUGGUAAUAGCUUACUUGAAUAACUCUAAAAAUUUAAUUCCACAUUCCAACUACGGUAAUACAUCUAUUUCCUUCCAUCUUCCCGUUACAUGAAUUUCCGUGGCUCGGCACUAACCCCGUCUAACUGAGCGUUAAAAAUGCAGCCCCAAAUUCGAGAAAGUAACCCGAGAUGCGAGACGAUGUGCAAUUGGUUUUCGCCUAAUGUAAGACGA